GGGGUUGUGGCUCAGUGGUAGAGUACUCACCCAGCAUGUGAGAGGCACUGGGUUUGAUCCUCAGUACCACA
rnacentral:tRNA from 1 species